GGGUUGUGAGGUUAAGCGACUAAGCGUACACGGUGGAUGCCCUGGCAGUCAGAGGCGAUGAAGGACGUGCUAAUCUGCGAUAAGCGUCGGUAAGGUGAUAUGAACCGUUAUAACCGGCGAUUUCCGAAUGGGGAAACCCAGUGUGUUUCGACACACUAUCAUUAACUGAAUCCAUAGGUUAAUGAGGCGAACCGGGGGAACUGAAACAUCUAAGUACCCCGAGGAAAAGAAAUCAACCGAGAUUCCCCCAGUAGCGGCGAGCGAACGGGGAGCAGCCCAGAGCCUGAAUCAGUGUGUGUGUUAGUGGAAGCGUCUGGAAAGGCGCGCGAUACAGGGUGACAGCCCCGUACACAAAAAUGCACAUAUUGUGAGCUCGAUGAGUAGGGCGGGACACGUGGUAUCCUGUCUGAAUAUGGGGGGACCAUCCUCCAAGGCUAAAUACUCCUGACUGACCGAUAGUGAACCAGUACCGUGAGGGAAAGGCGAAAAGAACCCCGGCGAGGGGAGUGAAAAAGAACCUGAAACCGUGUACGUACAAGCAGUGGGAGCACGCUUAGGCGUGUGACUGCGUACCUUUUGUAUAAUGGGUCAGCGACUUAUAUUCUGUAGCAAGGUUAACCGAAUAGGGGAGCCGAAGGGAAACCGAGUCUUAACUGGGCGUUAAGUUGCAGGGUAUAGACCCGAAACCCGGUGAUCUAGCCAUGGGCAGGUUGAAGGUUGGGUAACACUAACUGGAGGACCGAACCGACUAAUGUUGAAAAAUUAGCGGAUGACUUGUGGCUGGGGGUGAAAGGCCAAUCAAACCGGGAGAUAGCUGGUUCUCCCCGAAAGCUAUUUAGGUAGCGCCUCGUGAAUUCAUCUCCGGGGGUAGAGCACUGUUUCGGCAAGGGGGUCAUCCCGACUUACCAACCCGAUGCAAACUGCGAAUACCGGAGAAUGUUAUCACGGGAGACACACGGCGGGUGCUAACGUCCGUCGUGAAGAGGGAAACAACCCAGACCGCCAGCUAAGGUCCCAAAGUCAUGGUUAAGUGGGAAACGAUGUGGGAAGGCCCAGACAGCCAGGAUGUUGGCUUAGAAGCAGCCAUCAUUUAAAGAAAGCGUAAUAGCUCACUGGUCGAGUCGGCCUGCGCGGAAGAUGUAACGGGGCUAAACCAUGCACCGAAGCUGCGGCAGCGACGCUUAUGCGUUGUUGGGUAGGGGAGCGUUCUGUAAGCCUGCGAAGGUGUGCUGUGAGGCAUGCUGGAGGUAUCAGAAGUGCGAAUGCUGACAUAAGUAACGAUAAAGCGGGUGAAAAGCCCGCUCGCCGGAAGACCAAGGGUUCCUGUCCAACGUUAAUCGGGGCAGGGUGAGUCGACCCCUAAGGCGAGGCCGAAAGGCGUAGUCGAUGGGAAACAGGUUAAUAUUCCUGUACUUGGUGUUACUGCGAAGGGGGGACGGAGAAGGCUAUGUUGGCCGGGCGACGGUUGUCCCGGUUUAAGCGUGUAGGCUGGUUUUCCAGGCAAAUCCGGAAAAUCAAGGCUGAGGCGUGAUGACGAGGCACUACGGUGCUGAAGCAACAAAUGCCCUGCUUCCAGGAAAAGCCUCUAAGCAUCAGGUAACAUCAAAUCGUACCCCAAACCGACACAGGUGGUCAGGUAGAGAAUACCAAGGCGCUUGAGAGAACUCGGGUGAAGGAACUAGGCAAAAUGGUGCCGUAACUUCGGGAGAAGGCACGCUGAUAUGUAGGUGAAGUCCCUUGCGGAUGGAGCUGAAAUCAGUCGAAGAUACCAGCUGGCUGCAACUGUUUAUUAAAAACACAGCACUGUGCAAACACGAAAGUGGACGUAUACGGUGUGACGCCUGCCCGGUGCCGGAAGGUUAAUUGAUGGGGUUAGCGCAAGCGAAGCUCUUGAUCGAAGCCCCGGUAAACGGCGGCCGUAACUAUAACGGUCCUAAGGUAGCGAAAUUCCUUGUCGGGUAAGUUCCGACCUGCACGAAUGGCGUAAUGAUGGCCAGGCUGUCUCCACCCGAGACUCAGUGAAAUUGAACUCGCUGUGAAGAUGCAGUGUACCCGCGGCAAGACGGAAAGACCCCGUGAACCUUUACUAUAGCUUGACACUGAACAUUGAGCCUUGAUGUGUAGGAUAGGUGGGAGGCUUUGAAGUGUGGACGCCAGUCUGCAUGGAGCCGACCUUGAAAUACCACCCUUUAAUGUUUGAUGUUCUAACGUUGACCCGUAAUCCGGGUUGCGGACAGUGUCUGGUGGGUAGUUUGACUGGGGCGGUCUCCUCCUAAAGAGUAACGGAGGAGCACGAAGGUUGGCUAAUCCUGGUCGGACAUCAGGAGGUUAGUGCAAUGGCAUAAGCCAGCUUGACUGCGAGCGUGACGGCGCGAGCAGGUGCGAAAGCAGGUCAUAGUGAUCCGGUGGUUCUGAAUGGAAGGGCCAUCGCUCAACGGAUAAAAGGUACUCCGGGGAUAACAGGCUGAUACCGCCCAAGAGUUCAUAUCGACGGCGGUGUUUGGCACCUCGAUGUCGGCUCAUCACAUCCUGGGGCUGAAGUAGGUCCCAAGGGUAUGGCUGUUCGCCAUUUAAAGUGGUACGCGAGCUGGGUUUAGAACGUCGUGAGACAGUUCGGUCCCUAUCUGCCGUGGGCGCUGGAGAACUGAGGGGGGCUGCUCCUAGUACGAGAGGACCGGAGUGGACGCAUCACUGGUGUUCGGGUUGUCAUGCCAAUGGCACUGCCCGGUAGCUAAAUGCGGAAGAGAUAAGUGCUGAAAGCAUCUAAGCACGAAACUUGCCCCGAGAUGAGUUCUCCCUGACUCCUUGAGAGUCCUGAAGGAACGUUGAAGACGACGACGUUGAUAGGCCGGGUGUGUAAGCGCAGCGAUGCGUUGAGCUAACCGGUACUAAUGAACCGUGAGGCUUAACCUUACAACGCCGAAGCUGUU
rnacentral:rRNA from 1 species